rnacentral:rRNA from 1 species
UACGGAGGGAGCUAGCGUUGUUCGGAAUCACUGGGCGUAAAGCGCACGUAGGCUGUCUCAUAAGUCAGGGGUGAAAUCAUGUGGCUGAACUCUGGAACUGCCUGUGAAACUGGGAGGCUAGAAAACUGGAGAGGUGAGUGGAAUUCCGAGUGUAGAGGUGAAAUUCGUAGAUAUGCGAAAGAACACCGGUGGCGAAGGCGACUCACUGGCCUAUUAUUGACGCUGAGGUGCGAAAGCGUGGGGAGCAAACAGG